GCUGGAUGAAAGCUUUAAAAUAUUUUUCAUCUUCUUGCCGUAGCUGUGGGGUUGAGGGUUUGUUGGUUGUUGUUUUUUUUUUUUUUCCCUCUCCCCCCCCUUUUUUUUUAUGAUUGUUGUUAUUUUGGUUGCGAUAUAUCGACUUUGAUUUGAUUUUUUUUUUUUUUUUGUCUUCGGUCUCUUCUCCCUCCUCCUUCCCCCGAUGAACCUCUCUCGUCGCUCUGCACUUUGCACGAGAAAGCCCAGAGGAAAGGCACCAUGAAGUGUUAAAAAUAACAAAACAAAAGCAAAAAAAAAAAAGAGAGAGAGAGAGAGAGAGGAAAAGAUUUCCUCGCAACAACACCCGCGAACGCUUCCAGCUGCAGUUUGCGAGAGAGAAAGAGAGAGAAGGGAGGAAAGAGCCGUGCGUGCAGAAGGCGCAGAGCCCCUCGCUCUGAUGCAGCAGCGGCAGCGGAGGCUCUGCAGGGGAUAACGCGGAGCGGGCGGAGCGCGGCGCGGCGCGGCGGAGGAGCGGACGGACGGGCGGACGGACGGACGGACGGACAGCAAAGCUGGCUCACCCGGCGGCAGCGCAGAGCAGCGCCCUCGCUCCCGGAGCGCACCCUUUCUGGAGGACUGUCAGCAGCAAAAGGAUGGCAUCAGAACUGGCAAUGAGCGGCUCCGACCUGCCCACCAGUCCCCUGGCCAUGGAAUAUGUUAAUGACUUCGAUCUGAUGAAGUUUGAAGUGAAAAAGGAGCCGGUGGAGACCGAUCGCAUUAUCAGCCAGUGCGGCCGCUUGAUCGCCGGGGGAUCGCUCUCUUCCACCCCGAUGAGCACGCCCUGCAGCUCGGUGCCCCCGUCCCCCAGCUUCUCGGCGCCCAGCCCCGGCUCCGGCACCGACCAGAAGACCCACCUGGAAGACUACUACUGGAUGACGGGCUACCCGCAGCAGCUCAACCCCGAGGCGCUGGGCUUCAGCCCCGAGGACGCGGUGGAGGCGCUGAUCAACAGCAGCCACCACCCGCUGCCCGGCGCCUUCGAUGGCUAUGCUAGAGGGCAGCAGCUGGCCGCGGCCGCCGGCGGCUCGGUGCCGGCCGAGGAGAUGGGCUCGGCGGCCGCCGUGGUGUCGGCGGUGAUCGCCGCGGCGGCGGCGCAGGGCGGCGCGCCCCACUACCACCACCACCACCACCACCCGCACCACGGCGGCGGCGGCGGCGGCGGCGGACACCCCCACGGCGCGGCGCCGGGCAGCGCGCCGCCCUCCUCCGCCUCCUCCUCGGCCGCGGGCUCCGGAGGCGGCGGCGGCGGCGGCGGCGGAGGCGCCGGGGGGCUGCACCACCCGCACCACGGAGGAGGCGGCGGCGGCGGCGGCCUGCACUUCGACGACCGCUUCUCCGACGAGCAGCUGGUCACCAUGUCGGUGCGGGAGCUGAACCGGCAGCUGCGGGGCGUCAGCAAGGAAGAGGUGAUCCGGCUGAAGCAGAAGAGGAGGACCCUCAAAAACAGGGGCUAUGCCCAGUCCUGCCGCUUCAAGAGGGUCCAGCAGCGGCACGUCCUGGAGUCGGAGAAGAACCAGCUGCUGCAGCAAGUGGAGCACCUAAAGCAGGAGAUCUCCAGGCUGGUCCGGGAGAGGGACGCCUACAAGGAAAAGUACGAGAAGCUGGUCAGCAAUGGCUUCCGAGAAAACGGAUCCAGCAGCGACAACCCCUCCUCUCCAGAGUUUUUCAUUGCACAGUCCCCUCUGGCAGAGCAGCGCUGGCGGAACAUUGAGGCUGGUUGAGGAGCUGACCUCGGUGAUAGGAAGGAGGGAGAUGGGAAAGGAUAGCGCUGUGCAGACGCAACGUUGCCACCCGUUAGAAACCAGGAAAUAGCGCAGCCUUCGCUGGACUGCCUGUGAGUUUCAGCCCAAAACGCACCAACUUCCCAACGGAAGGGGAAAAGCAACCAGAAGCACACAGCGCUGCUGCUCACACCAAGCGAGUGUUGGGGCUCUAUCAGUCAUGGCAGGGGAGCGCCCACCUUUGCUGCAGGACUGCUUGCCGAGGACUCGCGGAGCCGCUCCGCUCUGAUCAACACCCAUUAAUCAAUGAAUCACCCCUGGUUGGGCUCCAGCUCCCCUCGGGGUGCAGCAUUGGGGCAGCUGGGUGCUGCCACGCCGGGGGGUCCGCUGCCAUCACAGCGCUGCCCCAUCUCGCAGCCCUGCGGUGUGUCCCCAUUCGGUAACAGCGCUACAAAGAACUUCCAUGUGACCGCUGCCGGGAGAUGCCUGCAGCCCCGUGCUGGCCGUGAGCGUAGCACACCCCCCUCCUCCCCACCCCACCGCAUCCUCCACCUUUAUUUUAACUAUUUUUCCUAAAGCAAAGCAAACCCCUCAUCCCCGAGCAUCCCCGUGCUCGUGCCUCACCGUUUUCCCUGCCUGAAAAAAAGCAUCAUCCCGGAGCGCGUCCGAAAGAAGGGAGGGAGUUCUGCAAGCCCCUCGCCGCUCCCCUUUGUCAGAAGGUCCUCUUUGCCCUUUAGAGCUCGAGAAUGUGUGUGUGCUGAAUCAGGACGCCACGCAGCACUACCCCCUGCGAAACGUGGCAGCAGAUUUGAAGCGCUCAAGGCGCACUUUCCCAGCUCCUCUCCUUUCCGAGAGCCUCGGCGCAGCUGUUUCCCUCUGCUCAGCGUGUAGGAAGUUCUCGAUCGAGAAUCAUUCAUAAUUUUAAUACCAAUUUCUAUUUGACAUAACAUACUAAUAUAAGAUACAGAGUGUAGCUGCUUCCUGGAUUUAGGGAGGAAAUGAUGCAUAUAUCAGAAUUAUCUGCUCAGAUGCCAGAAGUACAUCGGUGUCCUUUCAGCGCGUGCUACGCGGGGAGGAAAUCCUCUAUUUAUUGCUCCCAUCAUCAGAGGAGCUCAAUGGACCCUGUGUCUCUGACACCUGUUCCGACGGACGGACUGAACGUUUCACGCAGGAGAGAGAAAAAAAAAAAAGCAACGUUACACAGUGCUGGGAGCUCAGGUUUUUAGCAAACUUUCUUCCCUCACUCUUUCAGAAUCACAGAGGUGGGGUUGUGCAGGGCCUGUCUGUUGCAGCUAUGGCGAGUGCCAUGCUUGCUCGGCCGGGACAGGACCCAGUCCUGCUUGCAGUGCCUCUGCUCCUGCUGGAAGCGUGCAUUGCACACCAGGAUGCACAGAGCUGAGCGGCUUUUGGGGAGGGAGCACUCGAAUGGUGUGUCAACGCUGCUUAACUGAUAAUUCUGGAGAGCUCAGCAGAUAAAAAUCAAUGGAUUAAAGCCCCGCACACCUCGCCGUGUUUCAUUCUUGCCUGCCUGAAAUUGUGGGGGAGGACUGAGAAUAGCGUUUGUCACUCUUGGAGGGUGAAGAGCAUUCAGAUUGGUGAGCUCAAAGCCAGCGCGGUGCAAAAAUAGCCCAGGAUGUGACUUCACUUUGCAAGUGCAAAGCAAAGGGCCGGGGCUCAGUGGGCCCUGUGUAGGGAUGGAGGCAGCCCCGGCCCCAGCGGGGUCAGCCCAAGCCGGCACAGCAUGACAGCAUCUCAGUGCCCCGAUGCACUCGAUCUUAUCUCUCCAAAACAAUCAUUUUCUAUCUACGUUGCUGUACCCACUUUUAAAAAAUGUAUAAUUUUAUUUUUUUUUUUCCCCAAUUCCCUCUUUUCAAUCAGUGCACUGUGAUGCAGCAGAGGGGUACCGGCCCUGUGGUCACAGUGUGGGGAUGGGGACGGGGAUGGGGAUAGCACUGCCUCCCCCCUGUUCACAUUGGAGCCCCGCGAAUGUGCUUCGCUUUGCUAUUUCCCCUGCAGUGCAUUGCAUAGAGGCAAUUGAAGCCAGAGCAGAAGUUCACUGGAAGUGGUGCUUCUGCACCACGAAGAAGAAAAGUUCCCCAGCAAACAAACCGAGUGGCGUCUUUCCAUUUUCAGCAGGGUAGGGAACGCUGUGUCCCUGGUUGCCUCUCCCAGUGGCUGAUUCGGAUGCACGGUCCUGUGCAUCCCGCAGCUACCUGUGCAUCCCGAGCUGCUGCCGAGCACGGGGACACGCACUUGUGCCCGAGGGCACUUUUGGGAUCACUGCUGUCACAGAUUGGAGCAGCUUGGAAAUAAGCUGCACAGGAGUGAGGUGUCUGUGUAACAGCAUCGCAUCCAUCCCGCCGCCCCCGUCACCUACCAGGCUGUGGGGGCUGCUCUGUGGGGAGGGAGUGCCUUGCACACGUGUGCACACACACGCACGUACACACACACACAUGUGUUGGGGUGCUGCCCCAGCCCGGGGGGUCCCACAGUGCCAUGCAAGGGGGGACCAGGACCGGGGAGGGGGGGGGCUGGGAGGGCCAGGGCAGGGUGAGGGGUGGCUUCUUCUUUUUGUUUGCAUGUUUGUUCGUUUCUAAAUUGUUCCUGGAACAAAAAGGGACUCUGCGUAACUAAAGGAUCCAUCCCUGCAUCCCAGGCUUAGCCUCGGUGUGCUCCCAGGCGGCUCCGGUUGGCUGACCCUCCCCUAGGUACCCGAGAGAAUCUUCUACAACGGUGAUGUGAAAAUCCCCGUUACCUGAGGUCAGAACAAAAGUCUCCCAGAAGACCUGGAGUGGUGACGUCUGGACUGAGAAGAGAUCACACUGCUUAUAAAUCUGCACCAUGAGGAGGCCAAAAGUUUCUUCAGCAGCAGGAGGUAAGCCAGGACUGCUGGCGGGUAUGAGGACCAGAGAGCAAUGCUACAUACAUUCAAGAAGAAGAAAGUGGUGCUUUUGAGGAACAGAGACUUUGGGGCAGCAUCACAGUCCUCUAGAGAAAGCCCAAAGAGAUCUUCAGGUGGGAGCACACCACCCGGCCAGCUGCUUGUUGGGUUUAGCCCAUGGACGUCUGGGGUCUGCACACCAGAGACUGAGAACUCUUGACUUAUCCUAAAUUUCCUCUUUGUGGACUUCUGAUGUGACAGGAAUGGCACCAAAAAUUCAAUGUACCUGCUUUGCCAUUACUUUUCCAUACUGCUAACUUUCCCAGGACUACAUUCCGUUCAAAUUACGGGAACUUAAUUAUGUGAGGCUUAAUUUCAGUUGCUUGGCCAGCUUUAAAAAAUGUAUAUUCAAAUUUGGACCUCAGGGGCAGAAUUUGGGGAGCCUCUUUGUCCUUUCACUUUGUGUUAGUGUAAAUGAAGAAACUAUGCCUGUGAAUCUCUGCUUUAUUACACCUAUUCCAAGUCAGUCUCACUUCUGAUGAGACUUCCCAGACUUUCAGCAAUGCAAGAAGGGGUAUGAAAUACCCCUAAUAUUAUAGUCUAUGCUUCUGAAACAGUGCAAACAAAAGAUAUUUGUCUCCUGCUUACACGUUUUCUUGUAAAUAAAAUGCAUUGAGACCAGAUAUGGCGUUACAUUGAUUUUACACCAGAAAAAUACAUGCAUUGUCAUUUUACAUAGAAA